rnacentral:lncRNA from 1 species
AGAUGUGUUCCCUCCCCAAACACGAUUAGACGGUUCAGAUUAAAUCACAAUGAACGGUUCAGAUUCACUCCCUAUUUAAUCGCGAUUGGACGAUUCAGAUCAAACGCGAUAGACGACCCAGAUUAAAUGCGAAUAACUCUCAUUCACACCAAACCCUAACCCUAGCUGCCAGACCCCCUCGUGGGAGAAGAAGAUCCAGCCGCCGGGAAGGAGACCACCACCACCCGCUGUCAUGCCGGAGGUCUUUCUGACCGCCAAAAGAGGUAAAAAAAAUUUCAUUUGCUCAUAAGUCAAAUUUAAACACACGCAUGGCCAAAUUAGAGCAAAAAGACCGGUUGAUUGGCAAAAAAACGAGGGCAAAGCCCGGUGGCACU